rnacentral:tRNA from 1 species
CGGCCUCCAGCGCGGGUUCGUACAGCUCGCGGUUGCCGACGGUGAGGACGUGGGUGCGGUAGCCCGCGUGGCCGA